GGGUUCGAUUAUAUGGUGGCUCAGAUUGAACGCUGGCGGGAUGCUUUACACAUGCAAGUCGAACGGCAGCACGGGAUUUCGGUCUGGUGGCGAGUGGCGAACGGGUAUAAUGUAUCGAACGUGCCUAGUAGCGGGGAUAACUACGCGAAAGCGUAGCUAAUACCGCAUACGGCCCUUCGGGGGAAAGCGGGGGACCUUCGGCUUCCUGCACUAUUGGAGCGCCGAUAUCGGAUUAGCCAGCGGUGGGGUAACGGCUCACCAAGGCGACGAUCCGUAGCUGGUUUGAGAGGGACGACCAGCCAGUACCGGGGUUCAGACAUUGGUCGAUCUACGGGAGGCAGCAGUGGGAAUUUUGGACAAUGGGGAACCCUGAUCCAGCCAGAGUCCCGGGCGUGUGCGAUGAAGGCCUUUUGCCAGGUGCCAGACUUUUGGCAGGGGAAAGAAACGGCACGUGGAUAAUACCUGGUGCAACUGACGGUACCUGCAGAAUAAGCACCGGUUAACUACGUGCCAGCAGCCGCGGUAAUACGUAGGUGCAAGCGUUAAUCGGAAUUACCGGGCGUAGCAGGCGGUUCGGAAAGAAAGAUGUGAAAUCCCAGAGCUUAACUUUGAACUGCAUUUUUAACUACUGAGCUAGGAGGCCGAGGGAGGUGGGAAUUCGGGCGUAGCAGUGAAAUGCGUAGAUAUGCGGAGGAACACCGAUGGCGAAGGCAGCCUCUGGGAUAACACCGACGCUCAUGCACGAAAGCAAGCGUGGGGAGCAAACAGGAUUAGAUACCCUGGUAGUCCACGCCCUAAACGAUGUCAACUAGCUGUUGGGGCCUUCGGGCCUGGUAGCGCAGCUACGCGUGAAGUUGACCGCCUGGGGAGUACGGUCGCAAGAUUAAAACUCAAAGGAAUUGACGGGGACUCGCACAAGCGGCGGAUGAUGUGGAUUAAUUGAUGCAACGCGAAAACCUUACCUACCUUAAUAUGUCUGGAACUCGAAGAGAUUUUGUGAGUGCUCGCAAGAGAACCGGAACACAGGUGCUGCAUGGCUGUCGUCAGCUCGUACGUGAGAUGUUGCUGUCCCGCAAUAGCGUGAAACCCUGGGCUGCUGUAUUAGUUGCUGCCAGGCGCACUCUCACGGAGACUUAAGACAAACCGAGAAGGUGGGGAUGACGCUCAAGUCCUCGCGGCCCUUGCGGGUAGGGCUUCACACGUCAUACAAUGGUCGGGACAGAGGGUCGCCAACCCGCGAGGGGGAGCCAACUCCAGAAACCUGAUCGGGAGUCCGGAUCGCAGUCUGCAACUCGACUGCGUGAAGUCGGAAUCGUUAGUAAUCGCGGAUCAGCAUGUCGCGGUGAAUACGUUCCCGGGUCUUGGUACACACCGCCCGUCACACCAUGGGAGUGGGUUUUACCAGAAGUGGUUAAUGACAACCGUGCGGAGGGCGAUUACCACGGUAGGAUUCAUGACUGGGGUGAAGUCGUAACAAGGUAG
rnacentral:rRNA from 1 species